GUAGUCCACGCUGUAAACGAUGGAUACUCGCUGUGGCUGGUAUUGACCCCGGCCGUGGCCAAGUUAACACGAUAAGUAUCCCGCCUGGGAAGUACGGUCGCAAGAUUAAAACUCAAAGGAAUUGACGGGGACCCGCACAAGCGGUGGAUUAUGUGGUUUAAUUCGAAGCAACGCGCAAAACCUUACCUAGCCUUGACUUGCUCUGGAAUGUUGCGGAAACGUAGCAGUCCUUCGGGACCGGAGACACAGGUGCUGCAUGGCUGUCGUCAGCUCGUGUCGUGAGAUGUUCGGUUAAGUCCGGCAACGAGCGCAACCCUCGUUCUUAGUUGCCAUCAUUCAGUUGGGCACUCUAGGGAGACUGCCGUGGUUAACACGGA
rnacentral:rRNA from 1 species